UGUUAAAACGUUUGCUCAUGGCGGAGUGCUGGGUUCAAUAAAUUGUCUGAACUUCCUUCUGUUUACUGACGUGUGAAGAAAUGUAAACAGACACGUUAUCCUGCCAUUUAAUAAAUGAUCGCAUGCUGUAAAUACUUUCAUGGGAAUUUAUUUCUUCUGAAAAGCUCAUGUAACCGCAGCCACUUCAGAUCCUGAUAUGAUGAAGACAAGUGUGAGAGAUGCUUUUAUCCAGCGGGAAGGGCUUCAGCGCGUUACUGAGAGCUAAUUCAACUCGACACGCGGCUGCAGUGAAGAUCAAACCUGUAACCUUUUGGUUACACAAUAAUCUCUUUAGCCCCUGAUCCACAGUCACUUUGUGUUUGUGUACCACUGAGAAUCCAGCUUCCAGUGGAAGAACUAGACCGGUCUGCACAGAGUCCUGACCUCAACCCCAUCCAACAGCUUUGGGAUGAACUGGGACACUGACUGAGAGCCAGACCUGAUCCCCAGCAUCAGUGCUGGACCUCACUGAUGCUCUGCUGUCUGAAUGGAAGCAAAUCCCUGCAGCAGGUCCAACAUCUGGAGGAAAGUCUUCCCACAUACUGUCCACAUACAUUUGGCCACGUACUUUAACUUCCCGUCUAGACUUCCUGUCCGUCACAUACAGUAACAGUGGUGUUACAACAGCCGCUUCAUGCCGCUUCAUGACCCCAAACGAGCCACGUUACCCUGCAAGUCUUGCAUGACACAUCUUGGACGACGGCGGCGUUUCGACACAACUAAAAGGCACUUUCUGCAGACCCACAUGACAAGAUGGAGCUCUAACAGAGUUGCCUAAAGUAGGAGUUAUUUUGGGCGUCCUGAAGUAAAAGUCAGGCUCAUGUUCUCAUAGACAACGUUAGCUGACUGACAGAUGGAUGGUCAUGAAACUCUCCUGGUCUGAAUCAUCAGUAGAAAAGAUGAACCACUGUGUAAGAAAAUCUGGUUCAUUGAUAAAAACAAAAAUAUCAAUGAAAAGUUUUUUUUGUGGAUAUAAAAACUGAAGGCGAGAAGUCAACUACGACUCCCAACGUGCAUUUCAGGAAGAAACAUCACAGAGCUUAAAAUUCUGUUGCAAGCACUGCUAGCCACAGGCAGAAGCUGAAGAUUACACUUUGUAAAAAUCUAAAAUAUUCAGCAUCUUAAACCAGUUCAA